UAUCUGGCAUUUCUCCCCAUGCUAUCCCUCCCCAACUCCCCGCCCACUGCUGUCCCUCCCCUAGUUCUCCCCCAUACACCUCAGUGUGUGAUGCUCCCCUCCCUGUGUCCAUGUGUUCUCAUUGUUCAACACCCGCCUAUGAGUGAGACCAUGUGGUGUUUGGUUUUCUGUUCUUGUAUCAGUUUGCUGAGAAUGAUGGUUUCCAGGUUCAUCCAUGUCCCUACAAAGGACACAAACUCAUCUUUUUUUAUGGCUGCAUAGUAUUCCAUGGUGUAUACAUGCCACAUUUUCCCUGUCCAGUCUAUCACUGAUGGGCAUCUGGGUUGGUUCCAAGUCUUUGCUAUUGCAAACAGUGCUGCAAUGAACAUUCGUGUGCAUGUGUCCUUAUAACAGGAUGAUUUAUAAUCCUUUGGGUAUAUACCCGGUAAUGGGAUUGCUGGGUCAAAUGGAAUUUCUAUUUCUAGGUCCUUAAGGAAUCAUCAUACUAUUUUCCUCAAUGGUUGAACUAAUUUACACUCCCACCAGCAGUGUAAAAGUGUUCCUGUUUCUGCACAUCCUCUCCAGCAUCUGUUGUCUCCGGAUUUUUUAAUGAUCGCCAUUCUAACUGGCAUGAGAUGGUAUUUCAGUGUAGUUUUGAUUUGCAUUUCUCUAAUGACCAGUGAUGAUGAGCAUUUUUUCAUGUUUGUUGGCAUCAUAUAUGUCUUCUUUUGAAAAGUAUCUGUUCAUAUCCUUCACCCUCUUUUGAAUGGGUUUGUUUUUUUUUCUUGUAAAUCUGUUUUAGUUCUUUGUAGAUUCUGGAUAUUAGCCCUUUGUCAGAUGGGUAGAUUGCAAAAAUUUUUUUUCCCAUUCUGUUGAUUGCUGGUUCACUCUAAUGAUUGUUUCUUUCGCUGUGCAGAAGCUCUAGAGUUUAAUUAGAUCCCAUUUGUCUAUUUUGACUUUUGUUGCCAAUGCUUUUGGUGUUUUAGUCAUGAAGUCCUUGCCUAUGUCUAUGUCCUGAAUGGUUUUGCCAAGUUUUCUUCUAGGGUUUUUAUAGUGUUAGGUCUUAUGUUUAAACCUUUAAUCCAUCUGGAGUUAAUUUUAUUGUAAGAUAUCAGGAAGAGGUCCAGUUUCUGCUUUCUGCACAUUCCUAGCCAUUUUUCCCAACACCAUUUAUUAAACAGGGAAUCCUUUCCCCAUUGCUUGUUUUUGUCUGAUGUCAAAGAUCAGAUGGUUGUAAAUGUGUGGCAUUGCCUCUGAGGCCUCUGUUUUGUUCCAUUGGUCUAUAUCUCUGUUUUGGUAACAGUACCAUACAUUUUGAUUACUGUAGCCUUGUAGUAUAUAGUUUGAAGUCAGGUAGCAUGAUGCCUCCAGCUUUGUUCUUUUUGCUUAGGAUUGUCUUGGCUAUGCGGGCUCUCUUUUUGUUCCAUAUGAAAUUUAGGUGUUUUUUUCCAGUUCCGUGAAGAAGGUCAUUGGUAGCUUGAUGGGAAUAGCAUUGAAUGUAUAAAUUACUUUGGGUAGUAUGGCCAUUUUCACAAUACUGAUUCUUCCUAACUAUGAGCAUGGAAUGUUUCUCCAUCUGUUUGUGUCCUCUCUCAUUUCCUUCAGCAGUGGUUUGUAGUUCUCCUUGAAGAGGUCCUUUACAUCCUUUGUUAGUUGUAUUCCUAGGUAUUUUAUUCUUUUUGUAGCAAUUGUGAAUGGGAGUUCGUUCUUGAUUUGGCUCUCUUUAAGUCUGUUAUUGGUGUAUAGGAAUGCUUGUGAUUUCUGCACACUGAUUUUGUAUCCUGAGACUUUGCUGAAGUUGCUUAUCAGUUUCAGGAGAUUUUGGGCUGAGAUGAUGAGGUCUUCUAAAUAUAUAUAAUCAUGUCGACUGCAAAUAGAAACAAUUUGACUUCCUUCUUUCCUAAUUGAAUAUCCUUUAUUUCUUUUUCUUGCCUGAUUGCUCUGGUUAGAACUUCCAAUACUAUAUUGAAUAAGAGUGGUGAGAGAGGACAUCCUUGUCUAGUGCCAGGUUUCAAAGGGAAUGCUUCCAGUUUUUGCUCAUUCAGUAUGAUAUUGGCUGUGGGUUUGUCAUAAAUAGCUUUUAUUAUUUUGAGAUACAUUUCGUCGAUACCUAGUUUAUUGAGAGUUUUUAGCAUAAAGGGUUGUUGAAUUUUGUCAAAGGCCUUCUCUGCAUCUAUUGAAAUAAUCAUGUGGUUUUUGUCUUUGGUUCUGUUUAUGUGGUGGAUUACAUUUAUAGACUUACAUAUGUUGCGCCAGCCUUGCUUCCCCAGGAUGAAGCCUACUCAACGGUGAUGGAUAAGCUUUUUCAUGUGCUGUUGCAAUUGGUUUGCCAGCAUUUUAUUGAAGAUUUUUGCAUCUAUGUUCAUCGUGGAUGUUGGUCUGAAGUUUUCUUUUCUUGUUGAGUCUCUGCCAGGUUUUGGUAUCCAGAUGACACUGGUCUCAUAAAAUGAUUUGGGAAGGAUUCCCUCUUUUUGGAGUGUUUGGAAUAAUUUCAGAAGGAGUGGUACAAGCUCCUUUUUGUAUGUCUUAGAAUUUGGCUGUGAAUCCAUCUGGACCUGGGCUUUUUUUGGGUGGUAGGCUCUUAACUGCUGCCUCAACCUCAGUUCUUCUUAUUGGUCUAUUCAGGGUUUUGACUUCUUCCUGGUUUAGCCUUGGGAAGAUGCAAGUGUCCAGGAAUUUAUCCAUUUCUUCCAGGUUUACUGGUUUGUGUGCAUACAGUUGUUUGUAGUAAUCUCUGAUGGUGGUUUUUAUUUCUGUGGAAUCUGUGGUGAUAUCCCCUUUAUUGUUUUUUAUUGCAUCUAUUUGAUUAUUCUCUCUUUUCCUUUUUAUUAGUCUGGCUAGUGGUCUAUUUUGUUGAUCUCAGAAAACUAGCUACUGGAUUUAUUAAUUUUUUGAAGGGUUUUUGUGUCUCUAUCUCCUUCAGUUCUGCUCUGAUCUUAGUUAUUUCUUGUCUUCUGCUAGAUUUGGAGGUUUUUUGAUCUUGCACCUCUAGCUCUUUCAAUUUUGAUGAUAGGAUGUCAAUUUUAGAUCUUGCCUUGAUUCUCAUACGGGCGCUUAUUACUGUUUAUUUUCCUCUAUACACUGCUUUAAAUGUAUCCCAGAGAUCUGGUAUGUUGUAUCUUCAUUCUCAUUGGUUUUGAAGAAGAUCUUUAUUUCUGUCUUCAUUUCGUUGUUUAUCUACUCAACAUUCAAGAGCCAGUUGUUCAGUUUCCAUGAAGCUGUGUGGUUCUGAGUUAGUUUCUGAAUUCUGAGUUCUAGCUUGAUUGUACUGUGGCCUGAGAGACUGUUUGUUAUGAUUUCUGUUCUUUUGCAUUUGCUGAGGAGUGAUUUACUUCCAAUUAUGUGGUCAAUUUUAGAAUAGCUGUGGUGUGGUGCUGAGAAGAAUGUAUAUUCUGUGGAUUUGGGGUGGAGAGUUCUGUAAAUGUCUAUUAGGUUUGCUUGGUCCAGGUCUGCAGUUAAGCCCUGGAUAUCAUUGUUAAUUUUCUGUCUGGUUGAUGUGUCCAAUAUUGACAGUGGAGUGUUAAAGUCUCCCACUAUUAUUGUGUGGGAGUCUAAGUCUUUUUGUAGGUCAUUAAGAACUUGCUUCAUGUACCUGGGUGCUCCUGUAUUGGGUGUGUAUAUAUAUAGGGUCGUUAGCUCUUCUUGUUGCAUUGAUCCUUUUACCAUUAUGUAAUGUCCUUCUUUGUAUCUUUUGAUCUUUGUUGGUUUUAAGUCUAUUUCAUCAGAGACUAGGAUUGCAACUCCUGCUUUUUUUUGCUCUCCAUUUGCUUGGUAAAUCUUCCUCCAUCCUUUUAUUUUGAGCCUUUGUGUAUCCUUGCAUGUGAGUUGGGUUUCCUGAAUACAGCACACCAAUGAGUUUUGACUUUUUAUCCAAUUUGCCAGUCUGUGUCUUUUUAUUGGGGCAUUUAGUCCAUUUACAUUUAAGGUUAAUAUUGUUAUGUGUGAAUUUGAUCCUGCCAUUUUGAUGCUAGCUGGUUGUUUUGCCCAUUAGUUGAUGCAGUUUCUUCAUUGUGCUGAUACUCUGUAUCAUUUGGUAUGUUUUUGGAGUGGCUGGUACUGGUUGUUCCUUUCUAUGUUUAGUGCUUCUUUCAGGAGCUCUUAUAAAGCAGGCCUGGAGGUGAUGAAAUCUCUGAGCAAUUGCUUGUCCAUAAAGGAUUUUAUUUCUCCUUCGCUUAUGCAACUUAGUUUGGUUGGAUAUGAAAUUCUAGGUUGAAAGUUCUUUUCUUUAAGGAUGUUGAAUAUUGGCCCCCACUCUCUUCUGGCUUGUAGGGUUUCUGCUGAGAGAUCCGCUGUGAGUCUGAUGGGCUUCCCUUUGUGGGUAACCCGACCUUUCUCUCUGGCUGCCCUUAGCAUUUUUUCCUUCAUUUCAACUGAUGAUUAUGUGCUUUGGGGUUGCUCUCUUGAGGAAUACCUUUGUGGUGUUCUCUGUAUUUCCUGGACUUGAAUAUUGGCCUGCCUUGCUAGGUUGGUGAAAUUUUCUUGGAUAACAUCCUGAAGAGUGUUUUCCAGCUUGGAUUCAUUCUCUCCGUGACCUAUCAAACGUAGAUUAGGUUUUUUCACAUAAUCCAAUAUUUCUUGGAGACUUUGUUCAUUUCUUUUUAUUCUUUUUUCUCUCAUCUUGCCUUCUCAUUUUAUUUCAUUGAGUUGAUCUUCAACCUCUCAUAUACUUUCUUCUGGUUGGUCAAUUCUGCUAUUGAAACUUGUGCAUGCUUCAUGAAGUUCUCGUGUUGUGUUUUUCAGCUCCAUCAAUUUGUUUAUAUUCUUCUCAAACCUGUUUAUUCUUGUUAGCAUUUUGUCAAAGCUUUUCUCAAGGUUUUUAGUUUCUUUGCAUUGGAUUAGAACAUGUUCUUUUAGUUCAGAGAAGUUUCUUAUUACCCACCUUUUGAAAUCUGCUUUUGUCAGUUCAUCAGACUCAUUCCCCAUCCAGUCUUAUAUUCCCUUGCUGGUGAGGAGUUGUGAUCCCUUGGAGAAGGAGAAAUAUAUGGUUAUGGGUGUUUUCAUCCUUUUUAUGCUGGUUUCUUUCCAUCUUUGAGGAUUUAUCUCCCUGUGGUCUUUGUAGUCGGUGACUUUCAGAUUGGUUCUCUGAGUGGACGUCGUAUUUGUUGAUGAUGAAAUUAUUUCUUUCUGUUUCUUAGUUUUCCUUCCAACAGUCAGGCCCCUCUGCUGUAGGACUGCUGGAGGUCCAUUCCAGACCCUGCUUUCCUGGGGAUGACCUGCAGUGGUUACAGAACAGAGGCUGAGAAUUUGCACAUUUGUUGAACCUGCAAGAACUUGGAAGCCCAUAGUGCCCUUGAUGCUCCUGGACUCCCUGCUGAGACUUCUGGAUCCUAUGGCUCUCUGUGACUACUGCUGGAUCCAGAAACAGAAAAUGGGAAAAAAUAGCUUCUCUCUUCCUCUUGCCUUCUGGUCUUUCUCCAAGACCUGCCUUUGAAAAAAUCUAACUGGAAGCCACCUAGUUAAGAAACUUGGGAACCUAGUUUGCGAAUUUUUAGCACCUUGCAAUAUACAGAACAUUAAAGGGCAGGAAUUAAAGCUAAAAGUUACCUUUCCCAGGGAGUUGUAUUGUAGUUAUUUGUUUUGUUAUGUUUUGUGACAAAGUCUUACUCUGUCACCCAGUCUGGAGUGCAGUGGUACAAUCAUGGCUCACUGCAGCCCUGACUUCCUGGGUUCAGGUGAUCCUCUGGCUUCAGCCUCCUGAGUAGCUGGGACUACAGACGUGUGCCACCCAGGCUGACUAAUUUUUAAAAAACUUUUUUGUAGAGACAGAGUCCCACUAUGUUUCUCAGCCUGAUCUUGAACUCCAGGGGAUGAGGAGCAUCCCCUCUUUUCAUAUAAACUGUUUUUUGAGUCAGUGUUCCAGGGAUGGGUGACUGGGUCUCCAUCUUUGACUUAAGCAGAAAAUGGAUUUGUUGGAAGGAUAUCGAGUAAUUCAUAGAGCUACAAGAAUCCUGGAGACUCUAAUUUAGGAAACAACAGGAUCUGGUAAUGAGGAUGGAAUAGGGACUCUGCAAGACACUCCUGCUCAGAGGAAUCAUACUAUUUUUCAUUUUUAAAUAUCUACAGAAGAUUCAAGAUUUAAAGGAAGAAAAUGAAUCAGUCAACCUUGGGAAGGCCUGCACCUUCACUAGGAGAGGUCAUUUGGCAAAGUUAAAUAGGGAUCUGUCACCCAAUGAUACAGAAAUUGUUCUUGGGCAGCAAACACAUGAACAAAACCAGCUACUUCUGCAGUCCCUGUUGCCAGGUAUUGUUCUCUAGUUUCCUCCCUCCACCAUAUAUAAUAUAGCUCAUUCUAUAUUCCUCUGGGAUAAUGGCUUCCAUUCUUCCUUCCUGAGAAUUGCAAUCUUACUCUUGUCCCUAGCCUGGUGGCCUGGAGCUUGGUAACCCACUCCGGACAGGUCUUCUGAGCCUCAGACCUGGUAUCUACAUACUUGGUGAAUCAUCUAGUUACUUUAGCUUGAAACUUUUGAGAGUAAUAAUUAAGAGGAGGUUUUGCUUAAAUUAAAAGAGAAGUUUUAAUGAACUUUGAACUCUCUUCUUCAAUCUGAUGAAUAUUUCUUGGUACCCUCUGCAUCCUGGACAGCUACCCAAGUGACCUUCUGUUACUCGCAAUCUCUUCUGAUUUCCAUGAAAAGUGAAUUAAAAGACUUGACAUUAUUUUCCCACUUGGUCUACAUCUUUCUUUCCCUUCUUUCUUCCUCCCAAAGUCUGGCCCAUUUCAUUCUCCUGAUGGAUCUAAGCUUCAUAAUAAAUAUCACUGUGGCUCCCACUUAUUGAGCACUUACUAUGUUGAGCACCUACUAUGUGCCUAGGGCUUUAUACACAAUGUUUUAUUUAAUCCAGACCAGAACCCCAAAAAGUUCUCAUUACAAAGAUAGGAGAAUUAAGGCUCACAUAUCUAGUUAGUGAUGAAGUUCAUAUUUGUGCCCAAGUCAGCCUGAUUCCAAAACUUGCAUUCAUUUCAUAGAAGUAUGGGAUCUCUAUUACCUCCAGUAUGGGUACAGGAGAUGCAAGAGACGUCAGAGUCUCCUUGGACUUCUUUCCAGGUCUUUGUUUCAAAAUAACACUUUAGACAAAACAAGAUGUAAAAAUAUACACAGAAUGGAAAUCCCCACCUUUAUGAUUGCUUUAUUCUCAGCCUUUCAGGAUUAACUUACUGACAUGAUUUGGCUGUGUUGCCAUUGAAAUUUCAUCUUGAGUUGUAGUUCCUGUAAUCCCCACAUGUCAUAGGAGAGAACUGAUGGGAGGUAAUUGAAUCAUGGGGGCGGGGUUUUCCCAUGCUGUUUUUAUGAUAGUGAAUAAGUGAAUAAGACAGUUUAUAAAGGACAGUUUUCCUGCACAUGCUCUCUUGCCUGUCACGAUGUAAGAUAUGCCUUUGCUCCUCCUUUGCCAUCCACCAUGGUUGUGAGGCCUCCCCGGAAGUGUGGAACUGACCUGACUGAUACAGGCGUGAUUAGGUCAUAUUUGUGUUUUACAACAAUCCCUCUGGCUGCUUUAUGGAAAACAGAUUGGAGAAUGGCAAAGACUGGCUCCAAGGAGACCAGUGAGGAGGCGGCUAUUAUUCCGGAGGUAAACAUUUAUUGGAGAGAUUUAUAUUUGGAGAAAAAUUGGUUUUGUGGAGAGCCAGAAAGCAUACAUGCAAGAAACCAUUACAAAAGGCUGUACAAGAAUCAUGGCACCAGCAUCUGCUUCUGAUGAGAGUCUCAGGUCCCUUUUAUUUGUGGCAGAAGGCAGAGUGAAGCUGGUAUGCAGAAGUCACAUGGUGAUGAGGAAGCAAGAGAGAGCUGGGAGAUGCCAGGCUUUUUUUAACAACCAACACCUGCAGGAACUAGCACCAUGAGAACUUACUCAUUACAAAGAGGAUGGCACCAAGACAUUCAUGAGUGAUCUGCUCCCAUGAUCCAAACACCUCCCACUAGACCCCACCCCCAGCACUGGGCAUCAACUUUUAAUACGAGAUUUGGAGGGGGCAAACAAAUGAAACUAUAGCAAAACCAUUUCAUAUACUUUAUAAAUUUGCCUAGAAAGAUAAUACAAUACAUGCUAUUCAGUUAUUUGUAUUUUUAUCAAAUAAAAGCUUUCUAUUCAGCACAUGCAAAUCUGCCUCAUUCAUUCUAAAGGCUACUCAAUAUUACCUUGUAUGGAUGUUUCAUAAUUUACUUAAAUAGACACCUGUGAAUGGAUGCAGAGUAGUGAAUGUAUUUGGGAAGAUCCUGGAAUAGGAGAGAAAGACCUGUGAAUUACCUACAUGAGAGAGAUGGAUCAGAUUAAAGUAAUUCAGUGAAUUAGAGAGAAGAGCUCAGAUUCAAAAAGCAUUAAAGAAGUAAAAUUAAGAGAACUUGGUGAUUUCUUAUAAAUGAAGAAAGAGGGAGGAGAGGAAGAGGACUCUUGGCUUUUUGGCUUGACCAAAUAGUGAUGCCAGUCCCUAAAGAGGGAAAUAAAAUCACUCUCACAGUAAGGGAAAGCUGAUGGGCUUUGUUUUAGACAUGUUGAAAUUCAAGUGUCUAUAAAUCCUCCCAGUGGAGAUGUGGGGUAAACAGUUAAACAGUUGGCUCUAUGUGUCUAA